UCCAUACAGCCAGGUCUUGUUUUUCGCUUUUUGGGAGUGGUGAGACAUUUGACCAAUAUAAGUUAUACUCUAUGUUUAUAGCUUUUGACACAUUGGGUUUGUCAUGAAACUUGAAAGGAAUAUUCAACAUUGAAUAUGAUGAUCGGGAUUCGGGCCGAUAAAGUGUUUUAAUAUGCUAAAAUGUGUUUGUAAAUGUUAUUGAAACUGUUCAAAAGAGAAUGUGAUAACAAUGGGUGGAUGUAUUGGAAUAACUAGAACCAGAAGUGGGGCGAUAGAAGAAUCUUCAGGAACGGUAUCUCGACCUAACUCUGGUGGUUUAAGAAAGAAUCAAUCGUUGUGCCAUGAGACAAUCAGGUGGAAAUCGGAUGUGCCAUUGACAGAAGGUCAAUUAAGGAGCAAACGCGAUGAAUUCUGGGACACUGCCCCGGCCUUUGAAGGUCGGAAAGAGAUUUGGGAUGCAUUACGUGCAGCUGCCGUCGCUGCAGAGGCAAUGGACUUUCAACUUGCUCAGGCAAUCUUAGAUGGUGCCAGUGUUUCAGUCCCAAAUGGAUAUCUUACAGAGUGCUAUGACGAGUGGGGAACUAGAUAUCAGGUACCAAUAUACUGUCUGUCAGCCCCAAUUAAUAUGGUAAAAGAAGCAAGCGGUCGAGAUUCCCCUGCCGAUUGCUCUGAACCUGUGGAAGCAGGAUCUGAAAUGGCUCUAAGGUUACGGCUAUCGACUACCUGUAAAGACUUGAUCUUGUCAGUGGGCUCCAAGCACACCAUCGCACACUGCAAGGCUAAAUUACAUGCUCAAGAAUCAGUAGAGGUAUGGCGACAGCGUUGGUUCUAUGGUGGCAAGUUGCUCGGUGACCGUCUGCUGGUGGAGGAAGCGAAAAUCACAGCCGGUUAUGUUGUACAGGUUAUUGUCAGCACUGACCCACAUCCGCCUAGCUAGUUGGCUACAGGUCUCGUUGAGAUGAUACAGUACAACAAGUUGGCAAACAUUGAUCUAUUGGUCACUUUGUUGGAUAAACAUAGAUAAGAGAGCGGGAGAAACAUAACGGAUUUCAAGAUCACGCAAGUACCGCAAACCUUCUCAGAGAUACCUUCUCACACCUAUAGCUACGCAUAUAACUGUAUCAUAACGAGUAUAUUAAUCUAGUGAAUUCGGCAUUCCGAUCAUUAGAUGGCCGUGCACGGCGUCGCGAGAGGACACGUCUCGAUAAAUUAUUAUUUUUGUAUUCAUCUAAUGAUUAGAAUCGUGUGUACAUAUAAAUAAAUGUUAUAUAAAUUACAUAAGACGAAAAAGGAUUUCGAUACUUUUUUACGCGACCCGUGCUAGCGCGACGUGCACUACGAUGGAUGGCACGACAUUGUCACCGUCGUCGCCUCGUUUUUGAGUCGGUUAAACCUCGGAACGCCCGCACACUCUGUACAUAUAGAUAAAAUAUCGUCAUUCAUCCGAUAGGAGACGCUUCUUCUAAAAUAUCGAAUCGUACGAGUCUCGUGUACGAGCACUAAUUGUUUGGACGCUAAUAAUGCCGCCUUUUGCAACAAAUCGAUAAAAAGUGCCCCAAAAUAUUAACAACUAUCGUAACCUUCACUGCCGGAGUCGGUACAGCUUUUACGCUCGUGUAAUAGUCAAAAUGUCACGAGUUGUCAAAUAAAAAAAAAGCUGUCGUGAGCGCGCUAUCGGUUCGCUAUUUUUUAUUUGUCCCGUUCCUGUCUUAUGUCGAUAUUAUUGUCACUGCCGUAUUAUCCGUCGUUCGCGUUUAUAUGAAGGAAAUUUCUCAUUUUCGAAUCUAAUGACGAGCCGAAUGUUGCCGCUCAAUAGGCGUAAACAAUUUUCUAAAUGUUUUUAGCCACCGCCGGUCGUUCUCUCGACGACCGACGCGUGCCGAUUUUAAUUUGGGCAUUUACGAGGGAGUGCGGUGGUCAUUCCUAGAUCUCAACGUUGACUAUAUUAUUGUAUUGUUCUUGUCGUCUCUCCAAUAUUUGUGGGACGGUGCUAUUGUGUAGCGCGUAAUAAAUAAACACGAUUUUAACCCAUUUUAGCUUUUGUAACGUUUGAUAACGAUCUCCAAGACGAAGACUCCAGUGUUGUGUGAACGAAAUUCACUUCAUUUCACUCACGCGGUGUGAUCGACGAAAGUUAAUAGUUUUUAAAUAGUUGCUCACGUACUGAUAAAUAAAUUUGAACGAGAACGUGUACGAUGAGACGACAGAGAGACCAAUCCAUAACACGUAGACCGUAAUCUUUAGAUGCGUCCGAUGCAAUAUUGAAGCUCUAUUGCGCCUAUUUAUCUCAUUUACGAUGAAAGGUUUUUUACUUUGAAUGUUAUCGAAAUAUUAUUUAUUAAACGUAGUAUUAUUUAUCCUUCACGUAUCGCGCAAAGCGAACCAGAGCUGAACCAUUUCUUUAAAUAUUGAGUCCAGAGAGCCAUCGUCCUCCGUCACUGAUGACAUACGGGUAUCGAAAGCUUAGGCGAUUCUCGUUUUAUUGUUUUCUGAAGGGGAGUAUUAUGAAACUACUCCCAUACGGAAAGGAGUCCAUAACAAAUGAGAAGAGAACUGAGAAUUCCACGAGUUUCCCAUCGAGUGCCAUGACGACUUGCGAAGUCAGGUCGACGGCCAAUCUGAACGGUGUCCGCGGCGGGUCACCACCGGUCACCUCGACUGCGGUCGAAGCGCACAUCUCAAUCAUCUAGUUUUGUACAUUUUCUAUUUUAUCAUUCGCUUUUGGGUUCAUCGGCUGCGGAUGCUGUUCGUACGGGAUCACGUCGCUAUUUCAUCCAAAUGUCAUCGUAGAAAUCUAGUUUGUAACAAAUUAACAUACAUAUAUAUUAUUAAAAUCUAACGAUCUGAACGUUCGUAUUAUUUCUCGCAAACGCAAUUCUAAUGAAAAAUAGAGCUCGGUUUUGGUAAGAGUUUAAUUAGAAAAUCGGCUUCCUCCGGUAUCGUCUCGCGAUAGACGUUCUCGGCGGAGAUCUACUUGGGGAUGUACUUGAGCAGCUUGAUCUCGUGCGUGAGCCACACGGCCAGCGACAGCAGCAGCAGCGAGCCCGACUGGUGCGAGGCGGCCAACGGCGUCGGCACGUAGUGCAGCAGCGUCAGGACGCCCAGCGUGGCCUGCAGCCAGGCGGCGGCGGCGACCGCGACGGCCAGCCUCGACGCCGCCGGAGACAGCGGAGCCCGACGCGCCAGCAGGCCCAGCGCCGUGGCCGCCAGCAGCGUGCUCGCGCCGAGCACGCGGUGGUCGAGCUGCACGGUGCUGGGGUUCUCGGUGAAGUUGCGCAGGCGCGGAGUCAGCUGCCACGCGUCGUCGGGCACCCAGCGGUCGCCCAUCUUCGGGAACGAGUUGUACACGAGCCCGGCGUCCAGCCCCGCCACGAAGGCGCCCGAGAGGGCCGUCGCGAAGGCCAUCGCUCCGACGAAGUUCGCGGCGGCGGUCACCCGCGCGAGCUCGGCCGCUCGGCGGGCGACGGCGAGCGCGGGCGCGGGGCGAAGCACGCGCAGGGCUCCGCUCAACAGCCCCGCGUACAGCGUGAAGGCCAGCCCCAGGUGCGACGCCAACCGGUACUGAGAAACGCGCGGCACGUCCGAGGGGCCCCGGAACCGGUCCUCCAGGCCGGAUUUCACCAUGUACCACCCCAUCAGACCCUGAGGUUUGAAAUGAAGGGUGAUGGAUGUUUUACAAAAUUACUCUCUCUCUCGAGUGAAUCCGCGAACACACCUGAGCCCCGACGAGCGCGCAGUAAGCCGCCACCCUGAUCUUCAUGGGCCCGUCGAGACAACCCCGCAGCCAGAAGAAGGCGGCCGGAAGGAACACGGCGGCUCCGAUGGCGCGGCCCCAAGUGCGGUGCGCGAACUCCAUCCACCAGAUCCAUUUGAACUCUGACAGGUUCAUGUUCAUGUUCUUACUGGAAUAAAUGUGUUUGUAAUUUUGUCUAUGAUUGUA